CCUACGGGUGGCAGCAGUGAGGAAUAUUGGUCAAUGGCCGCAGGGCUGAACCAGCCAAGUCGCGUGAGGGAUGACGGUCCUAUGGAUUGUAAACCUCUUUUGUCAGGGAGCAAAGGGCGCCACGUGUGGCGUUUUGCGAGUACCUGAAGAAAAAGCAUCGGCUAACUCCGUGCCAGCAGCCGCGGUAAUACGGAGGAUGCGAGCGUUAUCCGGAUUUAUUGGGUUUAAAGGGUGCGCAGGCGGAAUGUCAAGUCAGCGGUAAAAUUUCGGGGCUCAACCCCGUCGUGCCGUUGAAACUGGAGGCCUUGAGUGCACACAGGGAUGCCGGAAUUCAUGGUGUAGCGGUGAAAUGCUUAGAUAUCAUGAAGAACUCCGAUCGCGAAGGCAAGUGUCCGGGGUGCAACUGACGCUGAGGCUCGAAAGUGCGGGUAUCGAACAGGAUUAGAUACCCGAGUAGUC
rnacentral:rRNA from 1 species